AAACUUAAAGGAAUUGACGGGGAGCACCACAACGGGUGGAGCUUGCGGUUUAAUUGGAUUCAACGCCGGAAAUCUUACCGGGACCGACAGCAAUAUGAAGGCCAGGCUGAAGACUUUGCCGGAUUAGCUGAGAGGUGGUGCAUGGCCGUCGUCAGUUCGUACUGUGAAGCAUCCUGUUAAGUCAGGCAACGAGCGAGACCCACGCCCACAGUUGCCAGCGUACUCUCUGGAGUGACGGGUACACUGUGGGGACCGCCGCUGCUAAAGCGGAGGAAGGAAUGGGCAACGGUAGGUCAGUAUGCCCCGAAUAUCCCGGGCUACACGCGAGCUACAAUGGGUGGGACAAUGGGUAUCGACACCGAAAGGUGAAGGCAAUCUCCUAAACCCAUCCGUAGUUCGGAUUGUGGGCUGCAACUCGCCCACAUGAAGCUGGAAUCUGUAGUAAUCGUGUCUCAAAAUGGCACGGUGAAUAUGUCCCUGCUCCUU
rnacentral:rRNA from 1 species